rnacentral:rRNA from 1 species
GAAUCUUCCACAAUGGACGAAAGUCUGAUGGAGCAAUGCCGCGUGAGUGAAGAAGGUUUUCGGAUCGUAAAACUCGGUUGUGAGGGAAGAACAAGUACGAGAGUAACUGCUCGUACCUUGACGGUACCUCAUUAGAAAGCCACGGCCAACUACGUGCCAGGAGUCGCGGUAAUACGUAGGUGGCAAGGGUUGUCCGGAAUUAUUGGGCGUAAAGCGCGCGCAGGCGGUCCUUUAAGUCUGAUGUGGAAUCCAACGGCUCAACCGUGGAAGGUCAUUGGAAGCUGGGGGGCUUGAGUACAGAAGAGGAAAGUGGAAUUCCAAGUGUAGCGGUGAAGUGCGUAGAGAUUUGGAGGAACACCAGUGGCGAAGGCGACUUUCUGGUCUGUAAAUGACGCUGAGGCGCGAAAGCGUGGGGAGCAAACA